rnacentral:rRNA from 1 species
AUUGAACGCUGGCGGAAUGCUUAACACAUGCAAGUCGAGCGGGGGUGUAGCAAUACACCUAGCGGCGGACGGGUGAGGAAUACAUAGGAAUCUGCCUCAGAGCGGGGGACAGCCCGGGGAAACCCGGAUUAAUACCGCAUGAUGUCGCAAGACCAAAGGUGGGGACCGCAAGGCCCCACACUCUGAGAUGAGCCUAUGUCCGAUUAGCUAGUUGGCGGGGUAAAGCCCACCAAGGCGACGAUCGGUAGCUGGUCUGAGAGGACGAUCAGCCACACCGGAACUGAGACACGGUCCGGACUCCUACGGGAGGCAGCAGUGGGGAAUAUUGGACAAUGGGCGCAAGCCUGAUCCAGCAAUUCCGCGUGGGUGAAGAA